UACGGAGGGGGCUAGCGUUGUUCGGAAUUACUGGGCGUAAAGCGCGCGUAGGACGGACCUGCAAGUCGGGGGGUGAAAGCCCGAGGCUCAACCUCGGAACUGCCUUCGAUACUGCGGGUCUCGAGUCCGGGAGAGGUGAGUGGAAUUCCUAGUGUAGAGGUGAAGUUCGUAGAUAUUAGGAAGAACACCAGUGGCGAAAGGCGGCUGCACUGGCCCGGUACUGACGCUGAGGCGCGAAAGCGUGGGGAGCAAACAGG
rnacentral:rRNA from 1 species